GCUUUUAGGAACUGUGACCACUCCGUGCACAAGCUCAGGUUAGCGUGCUGGAGGAUGAGACCACAUAUACAGGACACCAGAGUGGGCAAUGCAUUUUUAAAACACCACUGGCCAAAAUAGAUAUUUUUGAGCUCUGCACGGGACCCCAGGGAUUGCCAGUUUGCAAACACUGCUGUAAAGCCAUGGAAGUGGACCUUAGUUUGCUGCUCAUAGCAAUCUAAGUUCAUGUAAAUCACAGUAAGGUAUAAAUACAAACUUAAUGUCUUUGUGGAAAAUAA